GCCUAAAGCGUCCGUAGCCUGUUCUAUAAGUUUCCGGUUAAAUCCAUUAGCUCAACUAAUGGGCUGCCGAAAAUACUGUAGAACUAGGGAGUGGGAGAGGUAGACGGUAUUCGGUAGGAAGGGGUAAAAUCCUUUGAUCUAUUGAGGACCACCUGUGGCGAAGGCGGUCUACCAGAACACGUUCGACGGUGAGGGAUGAAAGCUGGGGGAGCAAACCGGAUUAGAUACCCGGGUAGUCCCAACCGUAAACGAUGCAGACUCGGUGAUGCGCUGGCUUGUGGCCAGUGCAGUGCCGCAGGGAAGCCGUUAAGUUUGCCGCCUGGGAAGUACGUACGCAAGUAUGAAACUUAAAGGAAUUGGCGGGGGAGCACCACAAGGGGUGAAGCCUGCGGUUCAAUUGGAGUCAACGCCAGAAAUCUUACCCGAAGAGACAGCAGAAUGAAGGUCAAGCUGGAGACUUUACCAGACAAGCUGAGAAGUGGUGCAUGGCCGUCGCCAGCUCGUGCCGUGAGAUGUCCUGUUAAGUCAGGUAACGAGCGAGAUCCCUGCCUCUAGUUGCCACCAUUACUCUCAGGAGUAGUGGGGCGAAUUAGCGGGACCGCCGCAGUUAAUGCGGAGGAAGGAAGGGGCCACGGCAGGUCAGUAUGCCCCGAA
rnacentral:rRNA from 1 species